rnacentral:rRNA from 1 species
AGUGAACGCUGGCGGCAGGCCUAACACAUGCAAGUCGAACGGCAGCACAAGAGAGCUUGCUCUCUGGGUGGCGAGUGGCGGACGGGUGAGGAAUGCAUCGGAAUCUGCCCAUUUAUGGGGGAUAACCUCGGGAAACCGGGACUAAUACCGCAUACGACCUACGGGUGAAAGCAGGGGAUCUUCGGACCUUGCGCAGAUGGAUGAGCCGAUGCCGGAUUAGCUAGUUGGAGGGGUAAAGGCCCACCAAGGCGACGAUCCGUAGCUGGUCUGAGAGGAUGAUCAGCCACACUGGGACUGAGACACGGCCCAGACUCCUACGGGAGGCAGCAGUGGGGAAUAUUGGACAAUGGGCGCAAGCCUGAUCCAGCCAUGCCGCGUGUGUGAAGAAGGCCUUCGGGUUGUAAAGCACUUUUGUUGGGAAAGAAAAGCAGCCGGUUAAUACCCGGUUGUCAUGACGGUACCCAAAGAAUAAGCACCGGCUAACUUCGUG